GACUCUGCUUAGACAGGGUUCAUCAUCACAGAGCCACAUGUACAGACUACAGUGUUAUGUGAUGUUAAAGACACAAAGAACAGCUGUUGGUUUCUCACGAGCUUUAAUUAAAGUUAAAACAAAUUUCCACAUGAAGCUCAGAUUACAAAGAUGUAAAUGUCACUGUCUGUGUUUUUUUCAAGUCCAAACAAGUUCAGGACUGUCAGCACGUAGGACAUUUGAAAGAAUUCAUCACAUGGUUUCAUGGAAAUGAUGCAGCUCAGAGUCACGUGCUCUUGUUAUUGUUCACACAUUCCACAUCAGCCUAUGAACAGGUAAAUGCUGUGUCCAUGUGAUCUUAGGUGGAUCUCAUUGCAUCAGAUUUCUGCUUUGCUUUUGCUUUUGUCCUCAGGUGAAAUACUGCUGUUACUUCCUGGUGCAAUGAUUUAGACCAGGAUCAUGAUUCUUGCAUAAACAGUUUAUCUCUGCAGCUCUCAAUAUACCACUUAAUGAAACAGGUUGAAACGUCGCACUGUUCGAUUGCCUGCAAACAAGGAGAAGAUGCUCUGAAUCCUUUUGCUUGUUGUUCCGACCUUCGCCAUAAUCUGUGUGAUGACUGAUGUGUCUCUGACUCUCUAUCCGAUAGAGGAGAACAACAAUGUCACCGUUACAUGGGACACUCAAACCCACAUUGACUUGUCUCUCACCCACCUCACGUGCUAUUUUGAUACUACACCUCUUAAGGUUUUCUACAAGGUGAUAAAGGUGACGAGGACUCAAACUCUCAGCAUCAGCAGUUCUCAGGACGGGUUCAGUUGGACAAAGAUGCUCUGAGAGACGGACGAAUCCGACUCCACGUGUCCACAGUCACAGCUGAGGACUCUGGAACCUACAGGUGUUAUGUGGCUGCCAAUUAUGACCAGAAGAAACAAAAAUGGCAGCUCUUAUACUCUGAAACGUUUGCUCUGAAUGUGAGUCAGCUCAGAGAUGGAAACAGCAGUCACCUGUCCCUCAACACGACAUCUGGACCAACAUCAGCUGAGGGCUCUGGAUAUGAACAAAGGAAUUCAGAUGGCAGAUUCAUCAUAGCGAUCCUUGUUUUGGCUGUUCUUGUGGCUGCACUAGUUUACUCAGCGCUCAGAAAAAAACACCAUGGACCAGUGAUUCCCUGUGUGUCUACAGGUUUGAUGCACCACUACCACAGAACGGUCAUUCGUUGAAAACUAAAGAACUACAAGUUUCUGUCCACAUUUACUCUUGUUCUGUAUUAACAACAGUAAAUAUGGUAAUUUUAUAUUUUACAGUAUUCAGUAUAUUAACAUGACUGAAUUGUCAUGUAGUGGGGUUGAUCAUUACUCUGUUUGCUUGCUUUGUUUUAACAUUGAUGAAAUAACCUAUAAUCCAUUUAUAAACAAUAAUCACUAUAAUCAGCCUGAGAACCUUGUGCCUUUAAACCUGAAUAAAGUCCAGCAGGAAACCAGACGGUUGUUUCCUCCAGUCUUUAUGUCAACGCAGAUUCUAAAGCAAGAGGUGAUGAAAGAACUGAACAAAACUGAACCGGUAGUGUUUGCUUUUACAGUCAGCGUCACUAUGAAGUAAUAAGUACUAACAAAGACUGCUGCUUUGCUUUGUCCAGUUUGAUACCAGAAUAUAUAUAUUGAUGUCAUGUUUCACAUCAGUGACGUGAAUUCAAAUCUAAGACAAUUGGCUCAUUCCUUUGUAUAUUUAUCAGGUAUAUGUAUUUAAAUGACCCGGGUCCCACGGGAUGGGUAAAAGUACAUUUCCCCAAUGUGGGAUCAAUAAAGCUCUAUUAUUUGUCAGUCUGUUGUGUUGUUGUUAUUCUUGUAGAAUAUGUGGCUUUCAAUAAUUUACUUUGGUUUGCUUUCCUUCAUUCUUGUCAUUUAGACCUUUGGAGGUAAUGAAGCAGGCUUUUGGUUUUUGUCAUAUCAAUUGUCAAAUAUCAAACUGUAAGAGAUCGACGGCAGCUCCUGAUUUUAUUCAGUCCACAGCUGAUUCCAUAGAUGUUAUGAAAACUCUUUUGUUUCUUUUGAAGCUCAGUCAGCUUUGACCUGCUCACAUCAAGGUGUUGACUCACAAUAUGGACGCAUGCUUCCAUCAGACUCAUAUUGGCCACUCUGAAAAGCCUCUUGUCACCAGGUUCAGAUUCUGAUCCGUCCAUCUCCGUGGUUUCAGAGCUGGUGCUGGAGUGUAGGAGUGGAGGCUGGUUCCCAGAGCCUGAGCUGCUGUGGCUGGACGCUGAGGGAAAGCUCCUCUCUGCUGGACCUACAGAGACAGUCAGAGGUUCUGAUGACCUCUAUACUGUCAGCAGCAGAGUGACUGUGGACAAGAGACACAGCAGCAGAUACACAUGCAGAGUCCAGCAGACCUUCAGCAGCCAGAAAACAGAGGCUCAAAUGAUAAUCAAAUAUAAUAAUUAUUGAACUUUAUUGAUCCCACAUUGGGGAAAUUACUGUCUGCACUCAACCCAUUCCCCGGGGGAGCAGUGGUUCUGCCCUCUCUUGAUUGCUCCGGGUCCACUGUUGUGGGUGCUUGUUGCAGGGCUGUUUUAUGGGCAUGUAGGUCAAAUAUUGGUUUUCCUUUUCUGUCAAGUUAUUGUCACUGUUCACAUUUAAUACUUCAUCUGUCACUGUCACGGAGUCAGGGCUCUUUAUGUAGCGUUUGUUUAAUACGAGGCGAGGUCCAAGAUACAGGUGUAAUACUCAUGGAGAGUAGGAUAAAAGUGUACAAAUGGGUGGAGUGCAUGGGUGAUGUACAUUAUCGUGGUUGUAAAUAACCUGUUUGAGCGAUCGGCGGUUGCCGCAGGAACUUCACUUGUCAUAAAGACGAUGCAAGAGGAAGUCCACGUCGAACACGCUUCAUUUUAUUCCUCCCUCUUCAGGGUGUUACACAGGUGAUGGUCAAAGAGGUAAGUCACAGGCAACAGAACAGGUGAGGAGCAGGCAGAGGUUCAACAUGGGCUACUGUAGAUGGUCAAAAACAGGAAGAAGCACUGACCCAAACACAAGGCAGCAUCAGGAACAAAACGCUGGAAAGUGGUGAGUACACGCAACAAUCUGGCAAUGAGUCCGGUGUGUAUUAGAGGUUAAACAGAGACCAAUGACAAAUAGGCUGCAGCUGAUGAAGUCACGAGUGAGCGACAAGUGGAAACUAGACACAGGUGGACCAGAACCGGAAGUAAAUACAAAAUAAAACAGGAAGUUGCUAAGACAACAGUUCGUGGAUGUGGAGCCGUGACACAAGGAAAAUGAAGAGGAUGUUAACUCAAGGUGCAGAGGAAUCCAAUCAGGAUGAACUAAGGAAGUGGACGACCUAAGAAUUUCACCAAUUCAAUGAGGAGACAAAAACAACAUCAACUGAUCCGCACCAGGACAAAACAUCUGCUAAGACCAAACCACUGUAAGUUGAGACAAUGAAAUCAAUCUACAUACAAAAAAUAUGUAAAAAAUACAUUAUAAACAAUUUUGUUAAAUCAAUAUAGUCACUAAAUAAUAAAAGAAAAACUGAUUCACAUGUGUGAUCAGAUUUUAGCCACAAUACACAGUUCAGCAGUGGAAGGAAGGAAGUACCGAAGAUGUAUCACACCAGUUCAUACAUACAGGG